GGGGAUGACCGGUUUCGACGGGAAGCUCUUUUACAAAACUGCAAGCCAAGUUUGAUAAACACUUGUCAAAAGAUAUCAAAAACUAAAAGCAAAAGCAGAACUAUAAGCGGCGUCCUGAAGUCUGAUUCUCGAUCGGACCGAAUGGGUGUAAACCAAUUCGAGAUGCUUUACAGAUUUUAAUGGUUUAGAGAUCUGUGACUAAAGACAAAUAAAUCUUACUUUAGAAUUCCUGUUGGUUGGAUAAUUUUUAAAGGAAAUUUUAAAAAACUAAAUACGCUUGUAGAAGUUUUGUUAGGUAGUUUUUCGGAUGAGGGUUCGAUUCCCUCCAUCUCCACUU
rnacentral:tmRNA from 1 species